UUUUGUACUCACCUUUACACCCUCAUUAGCCAAAAUGUCUUUGUCAAAAAGGAGGAAAGUGGCACACUGAGUGUAGAGUUUUCCAAGAAAAAUGGACAGAUUCCUAUUUAUUCCCAGAGGUGAAUGGGAAACCUGUGUUAACAAUAACCAUUCACCUGUCGGUGUUUAAGGUAUAACAUUCGGCGCCACUAUGAGACUCAGCAUGGUGAAAAAUACGACAGCCUGCAAGGACAACUGAGACUAGAGAAGAUAAAUGAGUUGCUGGUGGGGCUGAAGAAACAGCAGUCCGGUUUCACUCGGAGCCGAGAGAGCUCCCUGAAGUCAUGAGAGAGACGAGCUGACGGGCCAGCAGGGAGUGAAGGGAAGGAGGACACGUCUAAGGAAAAUGCGAUGCACCCGGGACCAGUCUAAAGUAAAUCAACAUCCAGUUUGAACACAAAUUUAAAACAUUCCACAUCAUACACAAGGCUAAUUUGUUUUUUAAUUUUGUGUAGCCCAGAUUUUUUUUUUUUUUUAAAUUCCAUCAGGAUCGUCAUGGUUUAAAUAUGUCCUAUAUAUUCUCUUAUCUGAAAAUUGUACUCUGCU